GAUGAACGCUAGCGGCAGGCUUAAUACAUGCAAGUCGUGGGGCAGCAUGAGUAGCAAUACUUGAUGGCGACCGGCAAACGGGUGAGGAACACGUACACAACCUUCCUUCAAGCGGGGAAUAGCCCAGAGAGAUUUGGAUUAAUACCCCAUAAUAUAUUUGAUAAGGCAUCUUAUUAAUAUUAAAGCUUCGGCACUUGAUGAUGGGUGUGCGGCUGAUUAGAUAGUUGGCGGGGUAACGGCCCACCAAGUCUACGAUCAGUAGCUGAUGUGAGAGCAUGAUCAGCCACACGGGCACUGAGACACGGGCCCGACUCCUACGGGAGGCAGCAGUAAGGAAUAUUGGACAAUGGACGAAAGUCUGAUCCAGCCAUGCCGCGUGAAGGAUUAAGGUCCUCUGGAUUGUAAACUUCUUUAUAUGGGACGAAAAAGGGCAUUCUUGUUCACUUGACGGUACCAUAUGAAUAAGCACCGGCUAACUCCGU
rnacentral:rRNA from 1 species